AUGGACAAAGAAGUGUAUAAGUACUAACUCAGAGUGUUGAUUGUCUGGUGCCCAAGUAAAUAUCUUGGAUGUAAAGAUUGCAUAAGCACAGCACUUGGAACUGAUGUUCAACAGACAAGGAACACGACGUAAGAUAGCUUCUGAAAUCCCAAUUUUGCUAUGUUACUCUUGUCUUGAUGUAGCUUAUGAAACUGUAAUUUUCUCGGCUUAUUAUUUGAGAGAUGAUAAAGUCUUCCUUCUCAUCUUCAUCUUUCCCAAAGACCCAAGAUGGAAGAGAUGUUUAAAUUCACCUGAGACUUAAGUACUGGGGAGAGUGAUAUAACUGUAUGAUUCCAUGUGAACUACAUUGAUUUUUAUCUUGGCUAUGAAAACCAAAAGGUAGUUUUCACAAUUGGGAAUUCUGGGUUAAUCCAUAUCUUGUGUAGGUUCGUAUUCAGGUUUUAAUUUCUUCUGUUUUCUUUCUCUUUUGGCCGUGGGUAUUUUUUCAUCAAAUUCUUUUUGUGUUCAGUUUUUCUUGGACAUAUUUUUCUGUCUAAUCCUUUCCCAAUACGCCAUUUCUUUCCCAAGUCGUCUGCUUCUUCCAACCUCUGUCCUUAGCCCCUCCAAUUUUUCAGUUUCACAUCUUUCUUUCAAUUCUACUUUUUCUUCUUCCUUUUCUUCCUUCCCUCUCCCUUUCUGCUUUCCAUUCACAAGAACCUCUGAGUCCUUCAGUUCUUACCUUCAGGACAAACUACCGCUUCUCCUCUGUGAUGCCUGGGAGCGAAUCGCCCUCCUCACUUCUCUUGCCUGGUGCUGCAGUGCCUUGGAGCUGCCGCAAGGAAUAAUUGCAGGAGAAAUCUGUGAUAACCCCUGCAGUCCUGGGAGGACGCGUGUUCGAUGAGGCUGUGCAGAGGCUUAUGGACAUGGUGAAGUUUAAUUUGGUUUUAUUGGAGGUGGAAGAAGGAUGUGCCCUGAAAUUGGUGUGAUCGGCACUGUUCCCCUGGCAGAUAUCAGAUUCCUUUGGAAGCUCCGUGAAUGCUGGAACUUCUCAGCAGAACAAAAAGAAAUUUCAUUUAUUGUUAGCGGACAGUUUUCUCUUCCUUUAAACGGAUGAAAUGAAUUUGGCUUAGGCCCUCAGAAAAGUUGGAGAUGAAGUGUAACAUCUUUAAAUCUUUUCUUUCUCUUGCUUCUGACAGUCUGUAGCUUGAGGCUGUGUGGAGUGGGAAAUGGAUGGAAAGCAAUCUUCCUUUGUGGAGAGGAUAACACAAGGCUUUUGUACAGGUGGUGGAACAGUAAGGAGAAAACUUUUUUUUCCUAAAAGCUUUCAGUGUAAGGCUGAUCUGUAAGUUGGAAGAAGAAUAUGGGGAAGUUAUUCACAACUAUUCACAAAACAAGUUUUAUGGUGAGUUUGGGUUUGUGUGUGCGCGAUGGUUAAUUAUGCAGAGGAUGACCAAACUGAAACAGAGGCAUUGCCAAGCCACGCUACCUUAGCUGCUGAGUGUUUAGAUUUUCUGGUGUGUAGUCAUCUUACUGUUGGCUGUCAUCCAAGGUAUUGCUGCACAGGUCGUUUGCGAGCAGAGGUUCGUUUUCUCUGCCUGCAUUUUCAGCUAGUUACAGGUCUAAUCAGGUGUGCGAGAACUUGGCACGCAAGGAUCUCUUUAUAAUUGAGGAGAAACAGGUUCUCUUAGGAUUUGAUUCGGACCGAUUCAGAUGUCAGCUUUAUGAUGGUGGGAAUUACCUUGUAGAAGUGCCUCUUUCACUGCACAUGACCUUCUGGGGCUCGAGGUUAAGUGUGGAUGUCUUCUUGUGUAAAUACCUUAAGUAAGGAAGGUGAUCUGGACCUGAAGCAUA